CCUACGGGUGGCAGCAGUAGGGAAUCUUCGGCAAUGGACGAAAGUCUGACCGAGCAACGCCGCGUGAGUGAAGAAGGUUUUCGGAUCGUAAAACUCUGUUGGUAGAGAAGAACGUUGGUGAGAGUGGAAAGCUCAUCAAGUGACGGUAACUACCCAGAAAGGGACGGCUAACUACGUGCCAGCAGCCGCGGUAAUACGUAGGUCCCGAGCGUUGUCCGGAUUUAUUGGGCGUAAAGCGAGCGCAGGUGGUUUAUUAAGUCUGGUGUAAAAGGCAGUGGCUCAACCAUUGUAUGCAUUGGAAACUGGCAUGCUGGAGUGCCGGAGGGGCAAGCGGAAUUCCUAGUGUAGCGGUGAAAUGCGUAGAUAUUAGGAGGAACACCGGUGGCGAAGGCGGCUUGCUGGACGGUAACUGACGUUGAGGCUCGAAAGCGUGGGGAGCAAACAGGAUUAGAUACCCUGGUAGUC
rnacentral:rRNA from 1 species